rnacentral:lncRNA from 1 species
UGAACUGAUGAUGAUGCUUCCUUUUUGGAAGUAAAGCUAAACCGAUUGUUUAGCUGGCCGGGAUCCCAACUUGAUGAAUUGAUGAACUAAUCAUGCUUGAAUACUCGGUUUUAAUCUUGUGAGAACUAUUUUGCUGUGUUGAACCUUUGAUGAUAUUGAUAAAUUUUUGAUGAUUAUUUUAUCGAAAGAUUGUUUUAGUUCUUGAAUAAACCUCAGUUGAAUCGUACGAUAUAUGCUUACUGAGCUUUAUGAGCUCACUCUUUUAUGUCACUAACUUUCUCAGGAAAGAAUUUUGGAGAAG